rnacentral:tRNA from 1 species
AGAAAAUGAAUUUAUUAAAAAUAAUUACCUUACUAGAAAAAAAAUAUUAAUAACAA